CGAUUUGAUCACAAUCUGAAUUUCAGCAUAUAUCAAUUUCAGCAUAUGAAAUAGAUCUAUAUAGUUUUAUAUUUUUAUGUAUGCAAAAUUCAGAUUAAAAAUAUUUUAAUCUUAUUCUCCACUGCAGUAUUUAGAAAAUAAAAAUUUUGAAAUAUAUAUGCAUGCACCAAACCCAAAAUUCCAAAACAAAAUACUUGCAU
rnacentral:lncRNA from 1 species